GCCGGAAGUGCGUGUUCAGACCUGCUUUUCACUCUAGAUUGGGAAGGUAGGGACGCCACGUGUUCUGUGGUGUCAGAGGGGCUGUGCUCGCUCGCUCCCACCCGCUGGCCGAACCCCAAACCCGCAGAAUGACGCUGGUCCGCGGCGCCAGUUCCCGCCCUGGGGCGCUGACGAAGCUCCCGGCAACCGGACUUCAGGAAUCACUCCCAGCAUAGAAAUUGGGCCUUGGACGGAAGAAGCCAAAAGCAGGCACCAGGACCGGGGGCUUUAUCAGAAGAUGAACGCUCUCUGGCCCCCGGCGAUUGGAUGAAGGCCUGCAAUCUUUGCUUCUCCGCUGCGGUGAGCCUAGAGCAUAUUCGGAGUGACGUCAGUUUGGGGGAAUCCAGGUGAGUUCACUGGAAGAGGUGUGUGCUUGCCGAGUGAAAACCUGCUGAGUUUGUUUCUGCCUGGUUCUCUGUGCCUGAAAUAUAGUAGUUGUGUUUUAGCA